rnacentral:piRNA from 1 species
UGUUGAUGUGCAUACAGGUGCCUGG